rnacentral:tRNA from 1 species
GACGUGCGGCGCUGCGGGCCAUCGGCACGGCCGCUCCGGCCGGCCGCGCGCAGCGCCUCGCCGUGCUGGCCGCCGCUCAGGACGGCGACGCGGCAC